UCUUUGGGUCGUCAGCACUUUACAGCCUCCUGUGCACUCACAAAAACAGUUACUAAAGCUAUCAAUCCAACAUGUGCAGAAGACGACUACAACCUCUCAGCAGUAUCUGUAUACCUGAGAGAAACUAAUCUACACCAGUCGUCAGGACUACAACAUGUCCUGAAAAACAUAAUUGGCCACCACACCAAGACUGCAGACCAUUAAUCCAUUACUCCCUGAUGCCCGUCCCUAACCAUGCCAGGCAAAGGCUAAUACUAUUUUGGCUCUUUGUAGCUCCAACCAGGGCAGGCAGCCAGAAUUUCUGUGUUUUGGGAAGGAGUUCUUCAGCUAAAAUGGACAAGCUAUCAAUCCAACAUGCCCAUCCUUGACCAUACCAGGCAAAGGCAAAUACUCCUUCAGCACUUUGCAGCUCCAACCAGUGCAGGCUGCAGGAGCUUCUGUGUUUGGGAGAGGAGUUCUUGAGUUAAAAAGAUCAAGAUUCUGCUUUUCUGCGCAUGCUGACCAGAAGCAAACUGAACAUCUACAACACAUGUUCCUUCUCUGACUUUGUGCCAAUCCUUCUCUGUUUUCAAGCAUUGACAAGCAUCCUAGACAGUGACAAAGGACAUCAGAACAUUGGAAGACCAUCAUUUCUCCAAUGCUCAUUGGGAAUUGACAUUGUCCUCUUCCACACCCUGACAACUACGUAUACUGGAAGAACAAAAGUUUCAGAGAUUUUGGGGAGAAAAAAAAAAAAACCCUCAAAACCUCAGCUGGACGUUCAAGACUUUUGAACAUAAGAAAAGACUUCUCUUUUGCAGGAGCCUGAGCAGCAACAAUGUCAACUACCACAGGCAACUAACUCCAAAAUAUGGAUCAACUGUAAGACUCUUAAAGUACAAAAAAAAAAGACGUUCUGGAGUGCAACCUUUUAAACACAAACAAAAAUCCUUACUUUAAAAAAAAAA